UGGGGAAUAUUGCACAAUGGGCGCAAGCCUGAUGCAGCCAUGCCGCGUGUAUGAAGAAGGCCUUCGGGUUGUAAAGUACUUUCAGCGGGGAGGAAGGCGUUGUGGUUAAUAACCACAGCGAUUGACGUUACCCGCAGAAGAAGCACCGGCUAACUCCGUGCCAGCAGCCGCGGUAAUACGGAGGGUGCAAGCGUUAAUCGGAAUUACUGGGCGUAAGCGACACGCAGGCGGUCUGUCAAGUCGGAUGUGAAAUCCCCGGGCUCAACCUGGGAACUGCAUUCGAAACUGGCAGGCUAGAGUCUUGUAGAGGGGUAGGAUUCAGGAUUG
rnacentral:rRNA from 1 species